GCCCUCGUAGCUCAGGGGAUUAGAGCGCAGCGCUGCGGACGCUGAGGCCACAGGUUCGAAUCCUGUCGAGGGUACCA
rnacentral:tRNA from 1 species